AACGAACGCUGGCGGCGUGUCUUAAGCAUGCAAGUCGUGCGGCAAGGGGUAGCAAUACCCCCUAGAGCGGCGGACUGGUGCGUAACGCGUGGGAAUCUGCCCUUAGGUACGGAAUAACUCAGGGAAACUUGAGCUAAUACCGUAUAAUGACUUCGGUCCAAAGAUUUAUCGCCUGAGGAUGAGCCCGCGUCGGAUUAGCUAGUUGGUAGGGUAAAAGCCUACCAAGGCGACGAUCCGUAGCUGGUCUGAGAGGAUGAUCAGCCACACUGGGACUGAGACACGGCCCAGACUCCUACGGGAGGCAGCAGUGGGGAAUAUUGGACAAUGGGCGCAAGCCUGAUCCAGCCAUGCCGCGUGAGUGAUGAAGGCCUUAGGGUUGUAAAGCUCUUUCACCCACGACGAUGAUGACGGUAGUGGGAGAAGAAGCCCCGGCUAACUUCGUGCCAGCCGCCGCGGUAAUAC
rnacentral:rRNA from 1 species